UACGGGGGGAGCAAGCGUUGUUCGGAUUUACUGGGCGUAAAGGGCGCGUAGGCGGCCAGCACAAGUCGGUUGUGAAAUCUCCGGGCUUAACUCGGAAAGGUCAACCGAUACUGUGCGGCUAGAGUGCGGAAGGGGCAACUGGAAUUCUCGGUGUAGCGGUGAAAUGCGUAGAUAUCGAGAGGAACACCUGCGGCGAAGGCGGCUCUCUGGGACGGUACCGACGCUGAGACGCGAAAGCGUGGGGAGCGAACAGG
rnacentral:rRNA from 1 species